GUGCUUGCUUCAGCAGCACAUUCACUAAAAUAGGAACAAUACAGAGAAGAUCAGCAUGGCCCCUGCACAAGGGUGGUGCGCAAAUAUGUAAAGCAUUCCAUAAUUUA